UACGUAGGGUGCAAGCGUUAAUCGGAAUUACUGGGCGUAAAGCGUGCGCAGGCGGUUAUGUAAGACAGAUGUGAAAUCCCCGGGCUCAACCUGGGAACUGCAUUUGUGACUGCAUAGCUAGAGUACGGUAGAGGGGGAUGGAAUUCCGCGUGUAGCAGUGAAAUGCGUAGAUAUGCGGAGGAACACCGAUGGCGAAGGCAAUCCCCUGGACCUGUACUGACGCUCAUGCACGAAAGGCGUGGGGAGCAAACAGGAU
rnacentral:rRNA from 1 species